CACAUCUUCAGCUGAUGCACAGGAAAGCAUAGGCCUUUAGCUGCCAAACCCAGAAGACCUGAGAAAUUUUUCCUGUGGAGGAGAAACCUGAGAAAACUGGUGGUGAUGUCCAUGUGCUGAGUUAUACAGCCUGAAUGGGAGUCUGUCUACCUCCUAGUCUCCCAGAGAGAGGUGACAUUCUGCCAGGAGUUCGAUUCUGAAGCUGCUGAAUUUGAACUGCUUCCGUCACAUCCAGGUGAAGAUACCCAGCAGGCCGCUCCAUACACAGAUGCUAAGAAUUGAACCCAGGGGCUUAUGCAGACAGAGGAGUACUCAAUACACAACAGCUAAACUACAUACCCAGCCCCUUGUGUCUCUCUGAAGAAGUGAAGAUGGGGGCAGUGAUGUGUGGAGGCAGCAACAGAGUCAGUCUGCCUCAUGACUUAACACACAAGGAAACAUCCAGGCUCCCUCUACAGAUGAACUGAAAAGACAAGGAGUGGCAGCCUCUAGAUCUAAACCCAGGUUGGUCUGACAGAGUCUAAAUCCUUGAACAUUCUCCAGCCUGCCUCCUAGAGAAGCAUGGUGGUGUUUAUUUCUCACAGGUGGCCCUGAGGAUGCAAAGACGGU